GAACUCAGAAGUGAAACGCCGUAGCGCCGAUGGUAGUGUGGGGUCUCCCCAUGCGAGAGUAGGGAACUGCCAGGCAU
rnacentral:rRNA from 1 species